rnacentral:lncRNA from 10 species
ACUUUCUGUUCCCGGGCUGCGUUCUGACACCUGUUGGACAGUAAAUCCCAAGUAAGGUACCUGCCUUCGGCAGAUUUGAGCUUUCUUCUUGGACACCUAUACCCACAGUCCUCCAGGAGGGUCCUAAGGCUCCGGUAGAUUGCAAAUAACCUGCUUUCUUUCUGUUCCCGGGCUGAGUUCGGACCCCUGUCGGAGAGUAAAUCCCAAGUAAGGUACCUGCCGUCAGCAGAUUUGAGCUUUCUUCUUGGAC